GUGAGGGUAACAAGGGUGUGUGGGCAUGCGCAGAUGCUCCCAGGUGCUUAUGCCCUCUCCUAAAGCCCUGCGUGGUGUCUCUCAGCAGGUGGGGGCCGCAGGAUCCAGCCGAAGUACGAUGCUAUCCUUGAGGCUCCACCCUGGCAUGAGGUUGUGAUGCUACGGCAGUCCUUCUCGGAACCCAACCACCAUCCUUAUAAGGAAGUCCAGGCUUAGGCCACUCAAUAAUGUGGAGCCAUGGAAGAAAGACCCUGAGGAUGAGAGACCAUUUCAGGUAUUGUCCAGCCUUGGCCAUGUUCCUGCAUGAAUCCAGUUGCUCAAUGAUAGCCCAGCCGAACCACCCAGCGGCUCUCUGCCAUUCUGCCCUGCUGCGGGGGUGAGCUGAAUGUGGACCGAACCUCUACAAACUGUGAGCUAAAAUUAUGGCAUCACAUUAUGAUCUCAUCCACUGAUGAAUUUAGAGCCCUCAUCAUCCCUGAUGAUCCAAUGUCUUACUGAAAGCCUACCAGCUGGAAAACAAGCCUUUAACGUAAUAUGUCCUUCCAGGACAUAUUUUAGAUAAAAAGCAUAACACAACAACAACAACAAAAAGCGGGAGGCACCACAAUACCCGACUUCAAACAUCCUGUGAAGCUGUGAUAAUCAGUAGCAUGGUAUUGGCAUAGAUCAA